CAUUUUAAUUAAUUGUGUUGCGGCAAAUUGGACUCAACAAAUCAGUUGCCUCAAUCUGAAUGCCCCGUUUGACACAAUUAAAAUACCUAUUU
ensembl:ncRNA C13G5.3 ncRNA